rnacentral:rRNA from 2 species
AGGUACGAUCAUACCACCACUAAUGCACUGGAUCCCAUCAGAACUUCGUUGUUACGCGUUCUUGGGCGAGAGUACUACUAGGAUGGGUCACCUCCUGGGAAGUCCUCGUGUUGCACCUC